CCAGACUCCUACGGGAGGCAGCAGUAGGGAAUUUUCGGCAAUGGGGGAAACCCUGACCGAGCAACGCCGCGUGAGGGAGGAAGUAUUUCGGUAUGUAAACCUCUGUUAUAAAGGAAGAACGAUGCAUGUAGGGAAUGACAUGCAAGUGACGGUACUUUAUGAGGAAGCCACGGCUAACUACGUGCCAGCAGCCGCGGUAAUACGUAGGUGGCAAGCGUUGUCCGGAAUUACUGGGUGUAAAGGGAGCGUAGGCGGGAAGCCAAGUCAGCUGUGAAAACUACGGGCUUAACCUGUAGACUGCAGUUGAAACUGGCUUGCUUGAGUGAAGUAGAGGUUGGCGGAAUUCCGAGUGUAGCGGUGAAAUGCGUAGAUAUUCGGAGGAACUCCGAUUGCGAAGGCAGCAUGCCGGCUCCACACUGACGCUGAGGCACGAAAGCGUGGGUAUCGAACAGGAUUAGAUCCCCCUGUACA
rnacentral:rRNA from 1 species